UACGAAGGGGGCUAGCGUUGUUCGGAAUUACUGGGCGUAAAACGCGCGCAGGCGGUCUUCCAAGUCAGUGGUGAAAGCCCGGAGCUCAACUCCGGAACUGCCAUUGAAACUGUGAGACUUGAGGAUGAGAGAGGUGAGUGGAAUUCCCAGUGUAGAGGUGAAAUUCGUAGAUAUUGGGAAGAACACCGGUGGCGAAGGCGGCUCACUGGCUCAUAUCUGACGCUCAGGCGCGACAGCGUGGGGAUCAAACAGG
rnacentral:rRNA from 1 species